UUAAUACGUCAUUAUUUGUAUAUUAUUUACAAGAAUUAUACAUAUGUAGUAGAAUAUAAUUUGUCCGUUCUUAAAUUCAGAACACCAUCUGGAUAAUAACGUUUUCCAUAUAAACGUUAGAUUUAAAACAGUUCAGAUAAGACGCAAUCAGCAGAUAAUUAUAGUUCGCUGUAAAACUAUAAUUGAAAGAACCAACGCUGCUUGUAAUCGAUCAAAAUCGAUUUUGUCAAGCCUUAAGGUUUUUAUUACACAGCCGAUUGCCCUGUUAUCUCUUAUUAAGGGGUGAAUGUACCCGCUAUUAUAAACAUAUAUCAACAGAAUCUUUAAUCCUGAAAAUCGAUGAUUUCCGAAUAAAAAGGAAAUCAAGUGCAACCGAAAAACCGAAAGGAUUGAAAGGUGUGAUGUUUUAUGAAAUCCCUUUUUUAAUUUAGACUAAUUUGUCAUGAAUACUGUGAUUAUAAUAAUAAAGUUGAUUUUUAAACCAA